rnacentral:rRNA from 1 species
GACGAACGCUGGCGGCGUGCUUAACACAUGCAAGUCGAACGGAAAGGCCCUGCUUUUGUGGGGUGCUCGAGUGGCGAACGGGUGAGUAACACGUGAGUAACCUGCCCUUGACUUUGGGAUAACUUCAGGAAACUGGGGCUAAUACCGGAUAGGAGCUCCUGCUGCAUGGUGGGGGUUGGAAAGUUUCGGCGGUUGGGGAUGGACUCGCGGCUUAUCAGCUUGUGGGUGGGGUAGUGGCUUACCAAGGCUUUGACGCGUAGUCGGCCUGAGAGGGUGACCUGCCACAUUGGGAAUGAGGUACGGCCCAGACUCCUACGGGAGGCAACAGUGGGGAAUAUUGCACAAUGGGCGGAAGCCUGAUGCAGCAACGCCGCGUGCGGGAUGACGGCCUUCGGGUUGUAAACCGCUUUCGCCUGUGACGAAGCGUGAGUGACGGUAAUGGGUAAAGAAGCACCGGCUAACUACGUG